UGGGGAAUUUUGGACAAUGGGCGCAAGCCUGAUCCAGCCAUACCGCGUGGGUGAAGAAGGCCUUCGGGUUAUAAAGCCCUUUUGUUGGGAAAGAAAUCCAGCCGGCUAAUACCUGGUUGGGAUGACGGUACCCAAAGAAUAAGCACCGGCUAACUUCGUGCCAGCAGCCGCGGUAAUACGAAGGGUGCAAGCGUUACUCGGAAUUACUGGGCGUAAAGCGUGCGUAGGUGGUUAUUUAAGUCUGUCGUGAAAGCCCUGGGCUCAACCUGGGAAUUGCGAUGGAUACUGGGCGACUAGAGUGCUGUAGAGGGUAGUGGAAUUUCCGGUGUAGCAGUGAAAUGCGUAGAGAUCGGAAGGAACAUCUGUGGCGAAGGCGACUACCUGGGCCAGCACUGACACUGAGGCACGAAAGCGUGGGGAGCAAACA
rnacentral:rRNA from 1 species